AUCAAUUUUCCUGUUUUCAACAUUUGAAGUGUGACGUGAUUAUUUCUCUUCUUCUUCCUCCGUUGUUUGCGCAGCUCCUCCGAAGCCUGCGGACGCUGGGAAGAGAUCCAGGUGGGAUGUUUCUCAGCAGAAAGAGGAGGAGAAGAAGGAGAAGAAGGAGAAGGAGAAGGAUCCUCUGAGCCAGCUGCUCAACGAUGCUCGAAAACAGACUGAGACCAAACUGGGACAAAGCUCCCCGCCUGCCUCGGAGACGCCGUCGGUGGAUGAGCAGAAAGAAAAGAAAGACGAGGAGAAGGAGGAGGAGAAGGAGGAGGAGGAGGAGGAGGAGGAGAGCCGGCCUCCCAUGGAUCUGUUCAAGGCCAUCUUCGCCAGCUCCUCGGAUGAGAAGUCCUCGUCUUCCUCGGAGGGAGAGAGCGACGGCGAGGCGGAGGACAAGGACGCCACGGAGGACCGAGGCAAAGCCAACACGCAGCCACUGAGUCUCUUCGGCAUCCCAACAUCCAUCCAGCAGACGGCUGUAGUUUUGCCUCAGAACUUCACACAAGAAGCGAAAGAAAACCAAGAGGAGGAGUUUGGUCCCAAGCUGCCGCCUCCAUCAGCUGCUCUCAACAGAGGAGGCGCCGUCUCCGUCUGCUCGCCGCGAGACGAGGAGAAACCCAACAAGAGGAGCCGAGAGAGGAAACACAAGAACAAGAAGCAGCACAAACACAAGAAGGACAAGAGGUAG
rnacentral:lncRNA from 1 species